AUACGGAGGAUGCAAGCGUUAUCCGGAUUUAUUGGGUUUAAAGGGUGCGUAGGCGGUUUGCUAAGCGGGAGGUGAAAUGCCGGCGCUCAACGUCGGAAGUGCCUCCCGAACUGGUGGACUGGAAUGACUAUGCCGUGGGAGGAAUGUGUAGUGUAGCGGUGAAAUGCUUAGAGAUUACACAGAACACCGAUUGCGAAGGCAUCUCACGAAGGGUUGAUUGACGCUGAGGCACGAAAGCGUGGGGAUCAAACAGGAUUAGAUACCCUGGUAGUCCACGCAGUAAACGAUGAUGGCUAACCGCUGGUUUAUUCGGAUCAGUGGCCAAGCGAAAGCGAUAAGCCAUCCACCUGGGGAGUACGACCGCAAGGUUGAAACUCAAAGGAAUUGGCGGGG
rnacentral:rRNA from 1 species